AGGACUAACGCUGGCGGCGUGCCUAACACAUGCAAGUCGAACGGGGUAGCAAUACCCAGUGGCAGACGGGUGAGUAACACGUGGUCAACCUACCUCUGUGUGGGGGAUAACUAGCCGAAAGGUUAGCCAAUACCGCAUACGAUCGUUUUGAGGCAUCUCGAGACGAUGAAAGGAGCAAUCCGCACGGAGAGGGGGACUGCGUCCCAUUAGUUAGUUGGUGGGGUAACGGCCUACCAAGACUCCGAUGGGUAGCUGGCUUGAGAGAGCGACCAGCCACACUGGAACUGAGAAACGGUCCAGACUCCUACGGGAGGCAGCAGUGAGGAAUUUUUCCGCAAUGGGCGAAAGCCUGACGGAGCGACGCCGCGUGUGGGAUGAAGGCCUUCGGGUCGUAAACCACUGUCGAAGGGGACGAUAAUGACGGUACCCUUGGAGGGAAGCCCCGGCUAACUACGUGCCAGCAGCCGC
rnacentral:rRNA from 1 species